GGCGCCUAGAACGCUACCACAUCCAAGGAAUGGCAGCAGGCGCGCAAAUUACCCAACCUGACACGGGGAGGUAGUGACAUAAAUAAAAUACCGGGCGCGUUAGUGUCUGGUAAUUGGAAUGAGUACAAUCUAAAAUCCCUUAACGAGGAUCCCAUUGGAGGCCAAUCUUGGUGCCAGCAGCGCGGUAAAAAUUCCAAGCUCCAAUAGCGUAUAUUUAAGUUGUUGCAGUUUAAAAAGCUCGUAGUUGACCUUGGGCCGGGUCGGCCGGUCCGCCUUCGGCGAGAAACGACCUACUCGGACCCUUCUGCGGCGAUGCGCCUCCUGGGCCUUAUUGGCCGGGUCGUGCCUCGGCCCCGCCGUUUACUUUGAAGAACAUUAGAAGUGCUCAAAGCAAGCCAUCGCCUGGAUUACAUUAGCAAUGGGAUAACAUCAUAGGAUUCCGGUCCGCUAUUGUGUUGGCCUUCGGGGAUCGGAGUAAUGAUUAAUAGGGAAGUCGGGGCAUUCGUAUUUCAUAGUCAGAGGUGAAAUUCCCUUUGGAUUUUAUGAAGACGACCAACUGCGAGCAUUUGCCAAGGAUGUUUUCAAUAAUCAGACGAAAGUUGGGGGCUCCGAAGACGAUCAGAUACCGUCCUAUGUCUCAACCAUAAACGAUGCCGACCAGGGAUCGGCGGCUGUUGCUUAUAGGACUCCGCCGGCACCUUAUAGAAAUCAAAGUUUUGGUUCCGGGGGGAGUAUGGUCGAGGCUGAAACUUAAAGGAAUGACGGAAGGGCACCACCAGGCGUGAGCCUGCGGCUUAAUUUGACUCAACACGGGAAACUACCAGGUCCAGACAUAGCAAGGAUUGACCAGACUGAGAGCUCUUUCUUGAUUCUUGGUGGUGUGCAAUGGCCCGUUCUUAGUUGGUGGAGCGAUUGUCUGGUUAUUCCGUUAACGAACGAGACCUCAGCUGCUAACUAGCUCUGCGGAGCCAUCCCUCGCAAGCUAGCUCUUAGGGACUCUGGCCGUUUAGGCCACGGAAGUUUAGGCAAUACACAGUCUGUGAUGCCCUUAGAUGUUCCUGGGCCGCACGCGCGCGUCACACUGAUGUAAUUCAACGAGUAUAUUAUCCAGCCUUGGCCGUACAGGCCCGGGUAAUCUUGGAAAUUUCAAUCGUGAUGGGAUAGAAUACAUUGCACAUUGUUGGUCUUCAACGACGGAUGCCUAAGUAAGCGGCGAGUCAUCAGCUCGCGUUGGAACUACGUCCCUGCCCUUUAGUAACACCGCCCGCCGCUACCUACCGGAUUGAAUGGUCCGGUGAAGUGUUCGGAUCGCGGCGACGGAGUGCCGGUUCGCCGCCCGCCUGACGCCCCCGCCGGCGAGAAGUCCAUUGCACCUUUCAUUUAGAGGAAGGAGAAGUCGUAACAAGGUUUCCGUAGGGUGACCUGCUGCGG
rnacentral:rRNA from 1 species